CCAACGGCCCUCUUUAGGGCCACAAGUGGCAGAAUGCGAAUACGU
rfam:Angiostrongylus cantonensis strain Taiwan genome assembly, scaffold: ACAC_contig0001011